CCGAUGGGACCCCACAGAACCCCACAGAACUCUAUAGGGCCCCAUAGAACCCCAUAGAAUCCGAUGGGAUCCCACAGAACCCCAUAGAACCCGAUGGGACCCCACAGAACCCCACAGAACUCUAUAGGACCCCAUAGAACCCGAUGGGACCCCACAGAACCCCAUAGACCUCUAUAGGACCCCAGAGAAUCCCAUAGAACUUUAUGGGACCCCACAGAACCCCAUAGAACUCUAUAGGAACCCACAAAAGCCACAAAACUCUAUAGGACCCCAAUGGAACCGCAGAACCCUACAGGAUCCCACAGAACCCCACAGAACCCUAUAGGAUCCCAUAGGACCCCCAUAACCCCACAGAACCCCCCAGAACCCUAUAGGAUCCCAUAGGACCCCCAGAACCCCCCAGGACCCCAUAGAACCCCACAGGACCCAGAGAACCCCAUAAAACCCCACAGAACCCCCCAAACCCCACAGAACCCCAUAGGGUUCUGUGGGGUUCCGGAGGUCCUAUGGGAUCCUAUAGGAUUCACGGGGGUUCUAUGGGGAUCUAUGGGGUUCUGUGGGCUUCUAUGGGGUCCUAUGGGAUCCUAUAGGGUUCUGUGGGGUACGAUAGGGUUCUAUGGGGUCCUAUGGGAUCCUAUAGGGUUCUAUGGGGUUCUGUGGGGUGCUAUAGGGUUCUGUGGGGUCCGAUAGGGCCUAUGGGGUUCUAUGGGGGUCCUAUAGAGGUCCUAAGGGGUCCUAUAGGGUGCUGUGGGGUCCUAUUGGGUUCUGUGGGGUUCUAUGGGGUUCUGUGAGGUCCGAUAGGGCCUAUGGGGUUCUAUGGGGGUCCUAUAGGGGUCCUAAGGGGUCUUAUAGGGUUCUGUGGGGUUCUGGGGCUCCUAUGGGAUCCUAUGGGGUUCUGUGGGCUUCUAUGGGGUCCUAUGGGAUCCUAUAGGGUUCUGUGGGGUCCUAUGGGGUUCUGUGGGGUCUAUGGGGUCCUAUUGGGGUCCUUUAGGGGUCUAUGGGGUUCUAUAGGGGUCCUAUGGGUGUCUAUGGGGUUCUAUGAGGGUCCUAUAGGGGUCUAUGAGGUUCUGUGGGAUCCUAUGGGAUCCUAUAGGGUUCUGUGGGGUCCUAUGGGGUCCUAUGGGGUUCUGUGGGGAUCCUAUAGGGUUCUGUGGGGUUCUAUGGGGUCCUAUGGGAUCCUAUUGGGUUCUGUGGGUUCCUAUGGGGUUCUGUGGGGUCUAUGGGGGUUCUGUGGGGGUCCUAUGGGGGUCUAUGGGGUCCUAUGGGGGCCCUAUAGGGGUCUAUGGGGUUCUGCGGGAUCCUAUAGAGGUCAAUGGGGUUCUGUGGGAUCCUAUAGGGGUCUAUGGGUUCCUCUGGGUGUCCUAUAGCGAUCAAUGGGAUUCGACGGCAGGGGGGGGGGGGGGGGCCACGCCCUGCGCGCUCCCGGAGACCCCCCACGGGGAAACGCGAACGCGCGUGGGGAGAUCUG
rnacentral:lncRNA from 1 species